CUCAGAAUAAAUUCAGUGCACAGUAUGCAUACAAUAAACCACUGUAAUAAGAUAAUUAGACUGAUAACCUUUCCAGAUUUAAUAGCUGAAAACAUGCAGGAACUGUAUGAACAGACAUGUUCAACAUCACUGAGUCAAACGAGGUGGAUUGAGUGUUACUGCCAAACAAACACGUGGGAUGUAGAAAGGGAAUAUUGAUGCUAUGAAGUCAGCAAUCACAAGUUCAUGUUUUUGGCUGGGUUUAAGGUCACUAUCGCUGAGUACAGACAAUCAGCUGGGAGUGUUUGGGUGUGUUUGCACCACAUGAAUGUUAUGAAACCGCUCUUUGUGUU